GACGAACGCUGGCGGCGUGCUUAACACAUGCAAGUCGAACGGUAAGGCCCUUCGGAGUACACGAGUGGCGAACGGGUGAGUAACACGUGGGUGAUCUGCCCUGCACUUCGGGAUAAGCCUGGGAAACUGGGUCUAAUACCGGAUAGGACCCUGGGAUGCAUGUCCUGGGGUGGAAAGCUUUUGCGGUGUGGGAUGGGCCCGCGGCCUAUCAGCUUGUUGGUGGGGUGAUGGCCUACCAAGGCGACGACGGGUAGCCGGCCUGAGAGGGUGACCGGCCACACUGGGACUGAGAUACGGCCCAGACUCCUACGGGAGGCAGCAGUGGGGAAUAUUGCACAAUGGGCGCAAGCCUGAUGCAGCGACGCCGCGUGAGGGAUGACGGCCUUCGGGUUGUAAACCUCUUUCAGUACCGACGAAGCGCAAGUGACGGUAGGUGCAGAAGAAGGACCGGCCAACUACGUGCCAGCCGCCGCUGUAA
rnacentral:rRNA from 1 species